rnacentral:misc_RNA from 1 species
GCUUCCUUCUUUAAAACUCGGUGUUCGCUUUUUAAGCAUUUUAUCAGGACUUCUAAAACACUACCUGUAAUUUCACGUCCAGGAACGAGAAUAGCAGAAAUUGUAUGUGAAUCCACAGCCACAAGGUUGCCUAAACUUCGAAGCACCGGAAUAAGUAAUUGCAAACUAUUUGAUGUUGAUAAUCUUUCCACAAGUAGUUGGAGAACAUCACUCUUCACCAAUAUACCGAGAGCAACAUCUGAGAGUGCUGAGAGAUACACAAUUACCCAGGCAACUUCAGUUGCCAACUCAUCAUCCGCUUUUCUUAAGUGUCUAAUAAUUGCAUCCAACACCCCAUCAAUUCUAAUUAGCUCUGUAGCAGCCCUGGAAUCUGGUCCCUUAAUUAAGUUGGAUAGUGCCCAAGCAGCUGUUUUAACGGAUGAACCUUUGUUUGGUAGCAGCAUUCUGGCAAGAGGUAGUAAAGCACCUUGUGAAAGCAGAAUAUUCCUCAACUCCUUUUCU